GGAGGCUUUGGGCUGCGCUCUGCCCCGGCCAGCCGUGAAAGGUCCUGUGUAGGAAUGUCGCAGGCUGAAGUCACCCCAGUGCGGGGGACACGGGCCCCUGGGCAGGAACUGCUCCAGGAAGGGGGGCUCUGGCACAGCCAGGCAGGCGCCAGGCUGGACAGAGCAGGAGGAAGGCACUGCGGCCAAGCACUGCCAGGGUCGGCCAAGUGUCUGCCCUCUCCCCACCUCCUCGGCCUGGUGCCUGGGGGUGGGUUGUGUCAUCACCCUUCCCUCCGUGGCCAUGGGCAGGAGCUGGGGCUGCCCCUAUGGGGCAGGUGCCCGGCUGAAGCAGAAACUGCGGUUUUGGGGCCGUGGGUCCCCCUGCCGCCCCCAUUGCCGGGGACAUUGUGCUUUCCCGUCCACUCCCCCCGCUGCUGGGCUGCCUGCCCUCCACGCAGGAGACGAGGGAUUUCACAACCCAGCCCAGACAGGAUUAAAGAGAAAUACACAAGUAAACAAAUCGCGGCCUCCUAACGCUGGACGCGCCGUUCGGGGAGCGGAUCCUGCGGGCCGGUGGGUGAGGCGCGGGCCCCGUGGGUACCGUGGGUACCGGGGUGCGGGAGCGAUGCCCGCGGGGGCCGGCACCGCACGGGACAGCGCCCGGUCCCGCCGGGAGAGCCGCUCCAGAGCAGCACUGAGCAAUCUCAUUUUUCACACGUCUCCUGUAGUCAAACUGCCCCUGUCAGAGGAAAGGAGUUGCUUCCUGUUAUUUCCAUUGAAAUCCUUGUCCCGCUCGUUAGCCGGCAGGCUUUGGCAGGAUGGCACCGCGCACGCACAUCAGCUCCGGCCGCCUCUCCCGGGGGCUCCUGCUGCUCUCCGUGCUCCUUGGGCCUGGCCUUUGUCACAUGGAAAACGUGACAACGAGCUCCAGCCAGGACACUGGGACAAACCCACCCACGCCCACCUCCAACGGGACAGCCCAGUCCAUGGAGCGGAAUUACACCGCCAUCACACAGCACUGCUGGGAUUACUUCGUCUACCUGAUGAGGAAUGUGCUGCCAUCGGAGCUGUGCGAGUGGAAAAUCAUCAGCAGGUACGGGCCAGCAGGACUGUGAGAGCCUGAAUGAGGGAUGUGGGAGUCCAGGUGGCUCUUCAAAAUGCAGUUUAUUCCAUCCAAGACCUUUCAGCAGUCCAGGGUCAUGAGUAACAGAGCCUGUGCCUACAGCUGUCAGCUCCAGCUGCAGGCAGGCCUGGAGACCCUUUGGUUUAGGUUACAAUGCAUUAUAUACUUUUCUUUUGGUUACAAUACAUUAUAUACUUUUCUUUUAGCUACGAUGCAUUAUAUACUUUUCUUUGCUGAGCAUCUUCAUACAGUAGAACCAAUCUGUACCUUAACUUUUACCUAUAGCCUAUCAUAACUACUGUAAUUACCAUAUUCAUGUUACUGUUCUCCAAUCACUCAAAGUCAGUACAUUACAGUGUAAGCUGGAAGUUGUUUUCCAGUUUUCUUGCAGUAGAAAAUUCUGAGACCUUUUUUCUACUUGCAACAUCAGCAGGCUUGUUUGCCUGUGCUAUUGUUUCUGCUUGGUAAAAACAUCUUCUUGCUCUAAGUCCUAAAAACCCCUUCUAACUGACAUAAACCUUACCUUCUUAGUUAUCCUGUAAGACUGGCUCAGCAAUUCUUUUCUUCUAUACCAAAACUUGCUUUAAUUUCUAUUCCUUCAUCAGACUCUACAUUUAAAAAUCUUU
ensembl:lncRNA